rnacentral:rRNA from 1 species
UCCUACGGGAGGCAGCAGUGGGGAAUAUUGGACAAUGGGCGCAAGCCUGAUCCAGCAAUGCCGCGUGUGGAAGAAGGCCUGCGGGUUGUAAAGCACUUUCAGCGAGAACAAUGCCGCGUGUGAAGAAGGCCUGCGGGUUGUAAAGCUCUUUCAGUAGGGAAGAAAAGCCUAGGGUUAAUACCCCUGAGUCUUGACGUAACCUACAGAAGAAGCACCGGCUAACUCCGUGCCAGCAGCCGCGGUAAU